rnacentral:rRNA from 1 species
CACGUAGGGCGCAAGCGUUGUCCGGAAUUAUUGGGCGUAAAGGGCGCGUAGGCGGCCUGGCAAGUGGAAGGUGAAAUCCCUCGGCUUAACCGAGGAACUGCCUCCCAAACUGCUUGGCUUGAGACCGGAAGGGGCGAGUGGAAUUCCUGGUGUAGCGGUGAAAUGCGCAGAUAUCAGGAGGAACACCAAUGGCGAAGGCAGCUCGCUGGAACGGUACUGACGCUGAGGCGCGAAAGCGUGGGGAGCGAACAGG